ensembl:sense_intronic Gm15903 predicted gene 15903
AUCGUCCAGGCCAGGAAUCAGGCCUUCCCCAAGCUUGUGCUGCCUCUCUCCUCUCUCCUAAUCUGGUCGUCAGAUCUGUCAUGUUUGCUUCCCAGUGUCUAAGCUCCACCGUCUCUGUUGUCAUCCCCUCAUUAACUGUCAGCAGCAAUUGUAUGGAUUCCUCUGAAGACUGUGAACUUGAUCCCAUCAUUGAAGGAGACAGAUUUAAAAAAAAAAAAAACUCUAAGAGGCCAUUUUUCCAUUAUAAAAAAUCUCCCUUAACCAACCUGUGCUGGCAGGAGAGGUGGCUUAGCCGUUAAGGGCGUGUAUCUGAGUUUUACCUAAUCCUUUCCUUCCAUCUCCAACAUCCCUCCCAAGAAAAGCCAUUUAGAAGACAAUGCAGACGUGUAAUAGAGGGUGGAAGUAGAUAUUUUAGAACAGCUGUGUUUCUUAGAUAUGAUAAUAGCGUAGCGGAUUUAGAUUUGUUCUCUGGAGAUACAUGUUAAAGUAUUCACUUAUUGAGACAAGGUCUCACCCAUUGUGCUGGCCAGCCUGGAACUCUCAGUGUAGACCAGGCUGGCCUUAAAUUCAGAGAUCUUCCUGAGUCUACCUCCUAAGUGCUGGAAUUAAAGGUCUGACCAUCACGGGAGGCAUAUGCUGAAGUGUUGUAUGUGUCUAGACGAUUUCCAAAUCUAUAAAAGUUUUCUUUUAACUUACACAACACAUUUUUAUCUACUUGGAGUGUGUAAAUUAUUUCAACUUCUCCAUGUUUGAAGCUUUUCUAAACAAGAAAUGGGCGAGAGGGUCUCUGUAGCAGCUGUGCAGGAGUUAGGGUCACAGGAGUAUUGCUUCAAUAUGAAACAUCUCAGAAUAGAUCUGCCGCCCUCCCCUGCCCGUGCGUGCUUCCUCGCUGCAAUACCUACUCCUGGCUUUGUGACUAGCCCUUAAAACGCUGUCUCCCCUGAAUGUCCAGCUGACAGAUGUUUCUUCCCCUUCUCUGUCAGUGGUUCUCAGCCUGUGAGUCAAGACCCCUUUGGAUUGCAUAUCAGAUAUUUACAUUACGAUUCAUAACAGCAAAAUUCCUGUUAGGAAGUAGCCAUGAAAACCAUUUCAUGGUUGGGGAUCACGGAAACACGAGGGACUGUGUUAAAGUGGCAGCCUGAGGAAAGCUGAGAACCACUGAGCCACAUCAUUAGCUCAAGAAUUACUUCUUCCUGGCACCUCAUCUCCCGGCCACCUGAGACCCUGCCCCUUCCGGCCACCCUGCGCUGCUGCAUCUUAUCCCCCACCCCUGGGCCUCCAUCCAAAGCUUAUCUGGGGAUGCAUGUGAUCCAGUUCCCCUGCAGGCUCAGCCCUGUGGGGUCAGGGCCGGGUUCAUUCUCUGUAUGUCCUCCCGCAGCUAGCCCAACCCCUAACGCAUAUCAUGAUGCACUUAGCAAAUAUUUGUGGGUCAAGUGGGUAUUUGUAGUAAGGCCCGCUAUGCUCUUUCUGAACAUUAAAUCUUUUUCCCCUGCCUCCCUUUGCUGACUAAACCUUAGUGCUGUCUCUCACCUGGUCAGCGCUGUUUUCCAAACCUCUCGGUUUUUGAGGCGGUUUUGGUCGGAGGUUGGGGAGUGUGUUUUGUUUUAUUGUUUUGCUGCAGUUGGGUUUAUGGUUUGUUUUAUUUUGUUUUGAGGCAGGGCUUCACAGUUUAGCCCUGGCUGGCCGGAAACUUGAUAUGUAGAUCAGACUAGCCUCAAACACAGAGAUCUGCCAGACUUUUUCUCUAGUCUUGGGGAUGAAACCCAGGGUCUCACUCAUACUAGCCAUUAAGCUACACUCCCAGCCCCAGGGGUGUCUUUUGAAAGUAUUGUUUCUCUUCAUCUCUACAUCCAGCAUCUGAACAGGAGACCAUCAUCCUUUUUCCCAUCCACCCAGAGGUUUCUUUCUUUGUUUUUGUUUUUCAAAACAGGAUUUCUCUGUGUCCCUGGCCAUGGAACUCACUACAUAGACCAGGCUGAUUUCGAACUCAGAGAUCACCUGCCUCUGCCUCUCAAUUGCUGGCAUUAAAGGUGUGAGCCACCUCUCCUCACUGAGUGUUUGGCUUUUGGUUUUGGGGGUUUGUUUUGUUAUGUUUUUAAGGCUUCCUUCAAUAAAAGGUUCUGCCAGUCAUGGCAGGAAGGAGUCCAGGAGUCCUGCCCUGGGGGUUGGCUCAGUAUUACCAGGCUGCUUUUCCUGCCUGUUUUGAAAAUCUGCUGGCAGUAUCCAUGGCAGUGUAACACACGCAGCAGUGUAGCGCCCCGCCCACGCUGACCUGUUAUCACCUGCUUCUUCCCACUCCCGCCCUGCACACCUUACAGACUCGUGCCGUCCGUUUCCCGACCCUGUGUCCUUGUCCUUGUACAUGUUGUUCUCUCUGGCUAGAAUUAGCACCUGCCUUGUCCAUCUGUCCUGCCUGGCCUCCAGCGCAGGGCUGCAGAGUCUCUCCUGGAGUCACUCUUGCUCCUCUUGAGGCCAAGCUGGUGAUUCAUUCCCCUGAGCUCUGGCAGUGUGUCCACUCUGGGAUCUGUGCUCAUUCUGGCUGUUUUCCCCCAGGAGAUGGAACUGACUUAGCAUCUGAUAGAACCUGAUACCAACAGAGCCUAGCAUACAAUGCUUAUUCUCAAUUCCAGUGUUUAAUAGAAAGUAGGGACCCUCCAAGCUGGAUGUGUGUCUGUCUGUCUGUGUCUCUGUAUGUGUAUGUGUGUAUAUGUAUGUGUUUCUGUGUGUCUGUGUCUCUGUGUUUACAUGCAUGUGUAUGUGUGUAUAUGUCUAUCUGUGUAUAUGUAUGUGUUUCUGUGUAUCUGUGUCUCUGUGUUUAUAUGCAUGUAUGUGUCUGUGUUUUGUGUGUGUGUGUCUCUGUGUGUAUGUGUGUCUGUGCCUGUUUAUACGGGUGUCUGUGUGUAUAUGUAUGUGUCUGUGUGUUUGUGUGCGUGUGUCUGUGUCUGCAUGUGCCUGUCAGUAAGAACCCAGGCCUUGCCUGGAUCCAGUCUCUCUGGCAGCUGUUGGCAUAGCUCUCUCCAUAUUUGGCUUAGACAGUGAGAGAGACUGGAUGACGUGUCAUCAAGUAUCCUGUGCCCAGGACUGGGCAUAUCAUAUCGGCUUUUGUCAGCUGAAACCUGACACUCAAACAAGAUUUCAGAGUUUGACCCUCAAAGCCAGGCUCGCAGGUUCGGCAAGAUGUAGGUUUGGGAGAUGGCCCUGAUUAGUAGAAACAUUUUUAAUGCUGUUUGUUCUUCGAAACUUCUGAGCCCAUUGUUUAGUCUCUCUGAGCUUGUCUGGGGUUGCAAGACCUACCUUGCUGCGGUUUUGAGGCUCUAAUGACAUGACCUAGGCAAAUGACCUCAAGCAGCCCCAUGGGAAGAAAUGUGUCUUUAAUAACUGUUGGUAUCCUUGAGCCCUAAGGAAGAAAAGUGUCACUGUCUGCUCUAUACUUAGUCCACAAAUAAUCCUUUCAGAGUCACAAAUGCAUUCAGUGCAAUAAAGAUUAGUCAUGUUUU